UUUACAGUCCAGUACAUCCCCCACGCUGGGAGGGAGUUCUGUCAUGCAGGCCUCUUCUCAGAGCAAAUCCAAACUUCCUUGGCAGAGUUUUUGCCUGAGACCUCUCUGUGCCUUUUUUUCUUUUCUUUUUUUUUUGAUGGGUGGUGAUCCUUCAGGCCCCAGCCCCCACAGGCCCGGGAGUCCGGAGGAAGGCCCUAAAGAGUUCUUGAUCCUUCGCCUGGGACUCCCACCUCCGGGCUACUCUUAGCUCAGCUGGGUCUCUCUAAUCCAAUCUAAACACAGGCAAGCCAGGACAGACACUGGAUUAGUCCUUGGCUGCGGCUGUGGAGGGAGAGUCUCGGAAAACAGAGGGCUAAGCCACGCGGCCCUACGUGCAGCAUUCUGACUCUUGCUGCUCCUUACUAGACUCUGGGGUUGGGCCACGCUGGCCUCCAAGAAGAGCCCCUACGUGGAAGGUGAGUCCUGCUCCCUGGCCCUCAGAGACAAGGCUCUCAGCACUUCAGGUUUCCUCUGAAGUCUCAUUAUCACAAUUUCCUGAGCUCCCCACCUGGCUCCCAAUGAGUCAUGAAGUUACACCUAUGAGGAUAAAUGGAUUGUGAAAAAUAUCCGGGCCAAAAAAAGUAACGAGCAAGGAGGAAUCGUUUCUGAGAAGGAGAUGCAGAAGAGAAAAAUCAGAAGAAAAGAGGGGGACACAGAAGGAGGAAGGACUGAAAGCCACUUCCCUUCCUGACCCCCGAGUUCUUGCUCCAGUAAAGUGACGUGCAGCCCCUUCCCCAUCCAUGCACUCCCUCCUCAGCCUGGACUUCCUUGACCUCCUGGAAGGACCAGCCUGGACCUCCUCAAGAACCAAGGAAGUGUAAGGAGGAGACGUGUUCAAUGAGACUUCCAAGGAAGAACUGACAGGGCUGAUGACUCAAGGAGAAAGAGGCAGGGGUCAAAAGGAUGCUGGAAAGUCCAGUCUGGGUGUGAAGAAACAUGGGAACCCUGGUAGAGGGAGUCAAGUCAAAGGAUUGCCUGACUUGAAGGACAGAGUAAACGAUGAGUAAAUUCUGGGCAGGUUAAA